CGGGGCGUAGCGCAGUUUGGUAGCGCGCUUGACUGGGGGUCAAGAGGUCGCUGGUUCAAGUCCAGUCGCCCCGA
rnacentral:tRNA from 3 species